AAGUUCCCCUAUUUUUUCCCCCUAGAUCAACUCUACAUUAUUGCUAUUAUCAAACCCGAUGCUGUGAUUAGCAGAAAAUCUCAAGAGAUUAGACAAAAUAUUAUGAAGGCAGGCUUUGUCAUAGAGAUCGAGGAGAAGAGAGCGCUCACUGAACGACAAGUCAGGGACUUCUAUUAUCGGAUAGCAG
rnacentral:lncRNA from 1 species